rnacentral:lncRNA from 1 species
UAGCAAGCCAAUUUUUUUUUAGAGAAAACAGAGCAAGAGACAACCUCGAACUUGAACCGGGAUUUUGGCGGACGGCGACGAGCUCAAAACAACCUCAACUUAACUCCAUUGUAGCCAAACUUCAUAAAUUCCCAUUGAAAUCAGAAAUAAAGUAAAAGAGAUUUGAAAUGUUUUGUUAAUUCUCUUUUUUUUUUGGAAGUUGAAAUCGAACGCAGUAAAUGAUGAGCCCCUAAAAUUCUCCAAACUCUCGAUCUACUUCUCCGAUUUAUGUCCAAAAACCUCUUCAAAAUUUCUAUCUUCCUCACCUCUAUCCGUGUGUGCGUGUGUUUGGGAUUGAGAGGUGAGAGGGUUGCUAGUUCUGUGAAAGUCGUUUGGAGUGAGUUAGGAAGCAGCAGCAGCUGCUCGUUUGGUGGAUAUUUGCCGCUGAAGGGCUGGUGGAGUUGGUGGUCGGUGGCUUUGUGCAGUGAGGGUGAAAGGCAGAGACACUGGUUUUAGGAACGACGACGGCUACUGGGUUCCGUUACUAGGGUUUGUUUGACGCUGGAGAUAGAGAAAAGAUGGGGGUGGCAGGUAGCUGGUUGUUGUGUGUUAGGUUGUUUGGGCGGCGGACGACGGCUGGAGGUUUUUCCAGCGAGUUUUUAGGGUGUUAGGGCUGCUUCUUUGUGUGUUGGAGAAGAAGGGUCGUUGGUUUGGUCAUGGGCAGCAGAGGGUUCGACGGCUGGAGUGUUCAGGGGUCUUCUCUAGGGUUUUGCUAGUGUGUAGGGUUAAGAAGAAAGGUUAGGGUGUAAGGGUUAAAUAAGAAGGGGUAAUGAGUGAAGUC